GCAAAAAGGAACCCUUUCGUGGCAAAUUGUCCUUCCUGCCAGAGAAAUCCAAUGCACUAGCAAUUCUUAGCACAGGACGAUCAAAAGGUAACCCUAAUCUUAAGUGUAGGGCUUUCCUUAGUUCCACUUGCUUCAUUUCAGUCUCCCCAUAAGUGAGUUCAUAGAUAACAGUUAUUGGAUGCAAAAAUCCAAGAGGGCAAAAAUGAUAUGGCACUAGAUGAGGCAGUUGGUUUACAAGGUUGGGUAAUAUUGCAUUCUUCAUCGAGUUUAACUGGUCAACUAAACCUGGAAUGAUCAGGGUUGAAACAGCAUAAGUCAAUGGAAGAAACUUGGCAGCAUAACAGAGAACUUCUGCCUUCAAGUCGACAACCAAAAGCCUGGUCUUGUCCACAGCUGGAAAGUACUCUACAACUGGUGCACUAGAUUUUUG
rnacentral:misc_RNA from 1 species